rnacentral:rRNA from 1 species
UACGUAGGUGGCAAGCGUUAUCCGGAUUUAUUGGGCGUAAAGGGAACGCAGGCGGUCUUUUAAGUCUGAUGUGAAAGCCUUCGGCUUAACCGGAGUAGUGCAUUGGAAACUGGGAGACUUGAGUGCAGAAGAGGAGAGUGGAACUCCAUGUGUAGCGGUGAAAUGCGUAGAUAUAUGGAAGAACACCAGUGGCGAAAGCGGCUCACUGGUCUGUAACUGACGCUGAGGUUCGAAAGCGUGGGUAGCAAACAGG